ensembl:lncRNA
GGUGUCAGUGUGAAUUCGGAGUAGGAAGGACCAACUUUAGGCAGUAAUUCACGUUGUCAUGCUCUAGAGUCAUGCACAACCAGUUCCCUUUUGUUUGCAACGCCAGCACUGCGGAGAGUCAGCAGGUGCCCAUGCCCCCACAACAGCUUUGGGUGGAGGAGGAAUUGAGCUGUGUCCUAAGCCAGCUUUGUUUUAAUGACAAGUGCCCACCUGUCCCGAAAUGAGGUGGCCAGAGGCACCUGCUUGAGGGGUUGAAGCCACCAGCAGCAAGGCCCCAGGCAGUGCGCUCACCCUGAGCCCCCUCUGGAAGAGCCCAAUUGUACAUAUGCCAGGAAAACGCUGCUUUCCCUGCCUCCACUGGUGAAAACAAUUCACUUAACUGAAGCUGAACAGAGAGAGGUAUUACUUUUAUACUGUGUUGGUCCGUAAUAGUACGCCUAUACAUGGAAGGUGCGGAAGAUUUAAUGACACAUAAAAUGCUGAGGGAGAAGAAACUGAUCUUUGGAGUACGGCAUACUGUGGAGAAGAAGGAAGCCCAGUCACCAACGGAAAUGAGAGAGGUGAUCAAGCUUGACCUCACCUGCAUAUUCCCUUUAAUUUGGAUAAGCAAGAUUAACAUAUGAUCAGAGCAAUGGCUAUUGGCCUUUCUUUGCCCCGUCUGAUGUUUCUAUAAGCAGCUCUGUGUGUUAGAGAUCUGGCUCUGAGCAGCAGCAUCCCUAUGCUGAGAGAGAAACUCAGGAUGUUGCCUGAGAUGUUACUGGGGAGCUUCCUCCCAGCACAGCUCAGCCACUGCAGUGCAAAGCCUAGCUGCUCAGUGCGUGCAGUUUGAACAGCUCCUGGGCCUUGCAUCAGGAUUUCAAUUUCUUUCUCAAGGCAGAGCGAGGCUUGGAGGGUCUUUCCAGGGCAGCCUGAAGCAUGGACUCUGCCUCUUGUAAGCGCAGGUCUGCCACUGGUUGGCCGUGAGCUGUAAAUCACUGAGACUUAGAGAAUGCUCUUUGCAAUCUCAAGCCCCUACGGCUCUUGGAAACAGCUGUUCUCAUCUGAACCUGUGAAGUUCAUUGACAUGGAUACUGCUAAAAUCAGCAUCUGGUUUCAAGCAGCACGGUAGGGUUUAAAUCUGCAAACACUGGUCCACACUGGGGCUGGUUUGCUCAGUUAUGUUUGGAAAUGUCUUGACUGAAUGCUCUGGAGUUAUAUAUAUAUGCCUUCUCAUUUUUGCUUAUGAGGCAAGUGGUUUAAUUUUUUUUUCUUUACUGUUUCUUAUUUUUCCACAUAUAGCAUUGCACAACUACUGCCAGAACUAGUGAUAGUUAUGAAAGGACAUAAUGGUGUGAUUUGCCUGUGCAACAACCAGGAUUUGUUUUUAGGGAUAUGAGAAGAGGUGAAGGGCAUGUCCAAACAAGGAUGUGUAACUGGAUUACAGCUGGUGGGCUGUCAGCAGUGAGGAUUUUGUCACAAACAAGCUCAUUUGGGGAGAGGGAGUGAGAACAUUUGUCACUUGCCUGACUGUUAGGGGUCUCAGGUGGCAGUUUGAAUGAGUCACUGGUUUGCUGUUUCACUAGGGAAAUUCAUACUGCCCACUCUCAAUUUCCCUUGAUGUUCCCAGCCCUCAUAGGGUUUCUGGUGUUAGUUAUUCAUUACCAGGAAAAAGAAUUUGAUUUUCAUACUCCUUAAGUGAGACAAAGUUGGUGAAACAAAUAAGACAAACAAGGUCAUAUCCUGUGGAUGGUUUGGUUAGUUACUUUCUGUGCAAGUGAAAUGGAAUCUGUUUUUGGUGGGUUGUUUUUUUUUUCAUUUUGUUGCACCUUUAGUUUGCUUCAAAUUAAUGACUUUUUUUUAGCCAAUGUAAAUGACAGGCAGUAAGGAAAGAGUGAGGAAAAGGCACAGUUGCCUUCAGAGGAAGUAUUAAUCUAGUGAUGCAGGAUUGCUCCACAGUUAGGUAUUGGUAUGUAUUCUUUUGGCACUCACACCACUGCUAAAUAGCUGUUACGAAGGCUUUUCCAAAAUGGGGUUCUUUGUGUGCCAGAGUAGGUUUCUUUAUGCUUUUAUGCUGCAUGAAAUAGUUUUUGGGAUGGCUGAGAAGCUCUGCUUAAAUGUGACCAUCUCAAGGGAAAAUCAUCAUGUGGCAGCUCUCUGGAAGAACUUGGUACUUUUAGUGAAAUAUUAAGCAUCCAGUUUUAAUGUAAAAUAAAUCUGACUUUUAUUCUCCUGACA